rnacentral:rRNA from 1 species
GACGAACGCUGGCGGCGUGCCUAAUACAUGCAAGUAGAACGCUGAAGGAGGAGCUUGCUUCUCUGGAUGAGUUGCGAACGGGUGAGUAACGCGUAGGUAACCUGCCUGGUAGCGGGGGAUAACUAUUGGAAACGAUAGCUAAUACCGCAUAAUAGUAGAUGUUGCAUGACAUUUGCUUAAAAGGUGCAAUUGCAUCACUACCAGAUGGACCUGCGUUGUAUUAGCUAGUUGGUGAGGUAACGGCUCACCAAGGCAACGAUACAUAGCCGACCUGAGAGGGUGAUCGGCCACACUGGGACUGAGACACGGCCCAGACUCCUACGGGGGGCAGCAGUAGGGAAUCUUCGGCAAUAGACGGAAGUCUGACCGAGCAACGCCGCGGGAGUGAAGAAGGUUUUCGGAUCGUAAAGCUCUGUUGUAAGAGAAGAACGAGUGUGAGAGUGGAAAGUUCACACUGUGACGGUAGCUUACCAGAAAGGGACGGCUAACUACGUG